UACGGGGGGGGUAAGCGUUGUUCGGAAUUACUGGGCGUAAAGGGCUCGUAGGCGGCCAACUAAGUCGGACGUGAAAUCCCUCAGCUUAACUGGGGAACUGCGUCCGAUACUGGAUGGCUUGGAUUUGGGAGAGGGAUGCGGAAUUCCAGGUGUAGCGGUGAAAUGCGUAGAUAUCUGGAGGAACACCGGUGGCGAAGGCGGCAUCCUGGACCAACAUUGACGCUGAGGAGCGAAAGCUAGGGGAGCAAACAGG
rnacentral:rRNA from 1 species